AGUCAGUUCAGGCAGACCCGAAACCGGGUGAUCUACCCAUGUCCAGGUUGAAGUUUCCGUAAAAGGAAAUGGAGGACCGAACGCACAUCCGUUGAAAAGGGUGGCGAUGAGGUGUGGGUAGGGGAGAAAUUCCAAUCGAACCCGGAGAUAGCUGGUUCUCCUCGAAAUAGCUUUAGGGCUAGCCUCGUAUUAGUUUAGCGGAGGUAGAGCACUGAAUUCUUAAGGGGGCGUCAAAGCUUACCAAGAGAUAUCAAACUCCGAAUGCCGCAUAAAUGAUGUACGGGAGUCAGACUGCACGAGAUAAGUUGGGCAGUCAAAAGGGAAAGAGCCCAGACCACCAGCUAAGGUCCCAAAGUGCGUGUUAAGUGGAAAAGGAUGUGGGAUUUCGAAGACAACUAGGAUGUUGGCUCAGAAGCAGCCACACAUUCAAAGAGUGCGUAAUAGCUCACUAGUCGAGAGGUCCUGCGCCGAAAAUGUCCGGGGCUGAAACACGACACCGAAGCUGUGGAAUGUAGCAAUACAUUGGUAGAGGAGCAUUCUUAACUGCGGCGAAGCGUUACCGUAAGGAGGCGUGGAGUGUUAAGAAGAGAGAAUGCCGGAAUGAGUAGCGAGAUGGAGGUGGGAAUCCUCCAGGCCGAAUAUCUAAGGUUUCCAGAGUAAAGCUGAUCUGCUCUGGGUAAGUCGGGGCCUAAGGCGAGGUCGAAAGACGUAGUCGAUGGACAACAGGUUGAAAUUCCUGUACCGCGUAUUAUCAGAACUGUGGGGACACAGAACCGAAGCCAAACCCGGGAAUGAAAAGACCGGGGCAAGCGCCGGACUGGUUAGACUGGAAAAUCCGUUUAACAACAGGAAAGCGUUAAGCGUACCGAACAAAAGUAGGGAAGUUGGUAUAGGGGCUGUCAAGAAAAGCCGCUAUUGUGUAAUACGUGCCCGUACCGUAAACCGACACAGGUGGAUGAGGAGAGAAUCCUAAGGCCGGCGGGAGAAGCAUUGUUAAGGAACUCGGCAAAAUGACCCUGUAACUUCGGGAUAAAGGGUGCCCACGAGAGUGGGCCGCAGAGAAUAGGCUCAAGCAACUGUUUAGCAAAAACACAGGUCUAUGCAAAACCGAAAGGUGAGGUAUAUGGGCUGACGCCUGCCCGGUGCUGGAAGGUUAAGAGGAGAGGUUAGGAGCAAUCCGAAGCUUUGAAUUUAAGCCCCAGUAAACGGCGGCCGUAACUAUAACGGUCCUAAGGUAGCGAAAUUCCUUGUCGGGUAAGUUCCGACCCGCACGAAAGGCGUAAUGAUUUGAGCGCUGUCUCGACAAUGCACCCGGUGAAAUUGAAGUACCAGUGAAGAUGCUGGUUACCUGCGCCAGGACGGAAAGACCCCAUGGAGCUUUACUCCAGCUUGAUACUGGGAUUCGGUACUGCAUGUACAGGAUAGGUGGGAGGCAGAGAAGGUAGGACGCCAGUCUUACUGGAGCCAUUGUUGGGAUACCACCCUUGCGGUAUUGGGUUUCUAACCUGCGGCCAUGACCUGGCCGGGGGACAAUGUCAGGUGGGGAGUUUGACUGGGGCGGUCGCCUCCGAAAGGGUAUCGGAGGCGCUCAAAGGUUCCCUCAGAAUGGACGGAAACCAUUCGAAGAGUGCAAAGGCAUAAGGGAGCUUGACUGCGACACCGACGGGUGGAGCAGGUACGAAAGUAGGACUUAGUGAUCCGGUGGUAUAAAGUGGGAUUGCCAUCGCUCAACGGAUAAAAGCUACCCUGGGGAUAACAGGCUUAUCACUCCCAAGAGUUCACAUCGACGGAGUGGUUUGGCACCUCGAUGUCGGCUCAUCGCAUCCUGGGGCUGAAGUAGGUCCCAAGGGUUGGGCUGUUCGCCCAUUAAAGCGGUACGCGAGCUGGGUUCAGAACGUCGUGAGACAGUUCGGUCCCUAUCCGGCGUGGGCGUAGGAUAUUUGAGAGGAGCUGUCCUUAGUACGAGAGGACCGGGAUGGACUGACCUCUGGUGUACCGGUUGGGUAUCAAACCCAUGGCCGGGUAGCCAAGUCGGGAAGGGAUAAACGCUGAAGGCAUCUAAGCGUGAAGCCCCCCUCAAGAUGAGAUAUCCCAUCGCAAGAGUAAGACCCCUUGA
rnacentral:rRNA from 1 species